rnacentral:rRNA from 1 species
UACGGGGGGGGCAAGCGUUGUUCGGAUUUACUGGGCGUAAAGGGCGCGUAGGCGGCGUGACAAGUCAGUUGUGAAAUCUUUGGGCUUAACCCAAAACGGUCAACUGAUACUGUUGUGCUAGAGUGCAGAAGGGGCAACUGGAAUUCUUGGUGUAGCGGUGAAAUGCGUAGAUAUCAAGAGGAACACCUGAGGCGAAGGCGGGUUGCUGGGCUGACACUGACGCUGAGGCGCGAAAGCUAGGGUAGCAAACGGG